UUCUCGAAUCGCACGGCCUUGCGCCGGCGAUAGUUCAUUCAAAUUUCUGCCCUAUCAACUUUCGAUGGCACGGUCUUGGCCCGCCAUGGUUUCAACGGGUAACGGAGGGUUAGGGCUCGACCCCGGAGAAGGAGCCUGAGAGACGGCUACUACAUCCAAGGAAGGCAGCAGGCGCGCAAAUUACCCAAUCCCGACACGGGGAGGUAGUGACAAUAAAUACUGAUACAGGGCUCUUUUGGGUCUUGUAAUUGGAAUGAGUACAAUUUAAAUCCCUUAACGAGGAACAAUUGGAGGGCAAGUCUGGUGCCAGCAGCCGCGGUAAUUCCAGCUCCAAUAGCGUAUAUUAAAGUUGUUGCAGUUAAAAAGCUCGUAGUUGAACCUUGGGCCUGGCUGGCCGGUCCGCCUCACCGCGUGCACUGGUUCGGCCGGGCCUUUCCCUCUGGGGAGCCCUAUGCCCUUCACUGGGUGUAGCGGGGAACCAGGACUUUUACUGUGAAAAAAUUAGAGUGUUCAAAGCAGGCCUAUGCUCGAAUACAUCAGCAUGGAAUAAUGGAAUAGGACGUGUGGUUCUAUUUUGUUGGUUUCUAGGACCGCCGUAAUGAUUAAUAGGGACAGUCGGGGGCAUCAGUAUUCAAUUGUCAGAGGUGAAAUUCUUGGAUCUAUUGAAGACUAACUACUGCGAAAGCAUUUGUCAAGGAUGUUUUCAUUAAUCAGGAACGAAAGUUAGGGGAUCGAAGACGAUCAGAUACCGUCGUAGUCUUAACCAUAAACUAUGCCGACUAGGGAUCGGACGAUGUUAUUCAAUUGACUCGUUCGGCACCUUACGAGAAAUCAAAGUCUAUGGG
rnacentral:rRNA from 1 species